rnacentral:rRNA from 1 species
GGGUUGUGAGGUUAAGCGACUAAGCGUACACGGUGGAUGCCCUGGCAGUCAGAGGCGAUGAAGGACGUGCUAAUCUGCGAAAAGCGUCGGUAAGGUGAUAUGAACCGUUACAGCCGGCGAUGUCCGAAUGGGGAAACCCAGUGCAAUUCGUUGCACUAUCGUUAACUGAAUACAUAGGUUAACGAGGCGAACCGGGGGAACUGAAACAUCUAAGUACCCCGAGGAAAAGAAAUCAACCGAGAUUCCCCCAGUAGCGGCGAGCGAACGGGGAGCAGCCCAGAGUCUGAAUCAGCUUGUGUGUUAGUGGAACGGUCUGGAAAGUCCGACGGUACAGGGUGAUAGUCCCGUACACCAAAAUGCACAGGUUGUGAACUCGAAGAGUAGGGCGGGACACGUGGUAUCCUGUCUGAAUAUGGGGGGACCAUCCUCCAAGGCUAAAUACUCCUGACUGACCGAUAGUGAACCAGUACCGUGAGGGAAAGGCGAAAAGAACCCCGGCGAGGGGAGUGAAAAAGAACCUGAAACCGUGUACGUACAAGCAGUGGGAGCACCUUCGGGUGUGACUGCGUACCUUUUGUAUAAUGGGUCAGCGACUUAUAUUCUGUAGCAAGGUUAACCGUAUAGGGGAGCCGCAGGGAAACCGAGUCUUAACUGGGCGUUAAGUUGCAGGGUAUAGACCCGAAACCCGGUGAUCUAGCCAUGGGCAGGUUGAAGGUUGGGUAACACUAACUGGAGGACCGAACCGACUAAUGUUGAAAAAUUAGCGGAUGACUUGUGGCUGGGGGUGAAAGGCCAAUCAAACCGGGAGAUAGCUGGUUCUCCCCGAAAGCUAUUUAGGUAGCGCCUCGUGAAUUCAUCUUCGGGGGUAGAGCACUGUUUCGGCUAGGGGGUCAUCCCGACUUACCAACCCGAUGCAAACUACGAAUACCGAAGAAUGUUAUCACGGGAGACACACGGCGGGUGCUAACGUCCGUCGUGAAGAGGGAAACAACCCAGACCGCCAGCUAAGGUCCCAAAGUCAUGGUUAAGUGGGAAACGAUGUGGGAAGGCACAGACAGCCAGGAUGUUGGCUUAGAAGCAGCCAUCAUUUAAAGAAAGCGUAAUAGCUCACUGGUCGAGUCGGCCUGCGCGGAAGAUGUAACGGGGCUAAACCAUGCACCGAAGCUGCGGCAGCGACACUAUGUGUUGUUGGGUAGGGGAGCGUUCUGUAAGCCUGCGAAGGUGACCUGUGAGGGUUGCUGGAGGUAUCAGAAGUGCGAAUGCUGACAUAAGUAACGAUAAAGCGGGUGAAAAGCCCGCUCGCCGGAAGACCAAGGGUUCCUGUCCAACGUUAAUCGGGGCAGGGUGAGUCGACCCCUAAGGCGAGGCCGAAAGGCGUAGUCGAUGGGAAACAGGUUAAUAUUCCUGUACUUGGUGUUACUGCGAAGGGGGGACGGAGAAGGCUAUGUUAGCCGGGCGACGGUUGUCCCGGUUUAAGCAUGUAGGCUGAUUGUCCAGGCAAAUCCGGAUAAUCAAGGCUGAGGUGUGAUGACGAGGCACUACGGUGCUGAAGUAACAAAUGCCCUGCUUCCAGGAAAAGCCUCUAAGCAUCAGGUAACAUCAAAUCGUACCCCAAACCGACACAGGUGGUCAGGUAGAGAAUACCAAGGCGCUUGAGAGAACUCGGGUGAAGGAACUAGGCAAAAUGGUGCCGUAACUUCGGGAGAAGGCACGCUGGUGUGUAGGUGAAGUCCCUGCGGAUGGAGCUGAGACCAGUCGAAGAUACCAGCUGGCUGCAACUGUUUAUUAAAAACACAGCACUGUGCAAACACGAAAGUGGACGUAUACGGUGUGACGCCUGCCCGGUGCCGGAAGGUUAAUUGAUGGGGUUAUCCGUAAGGAGAAGCUCUUGAUCGAAGCCCCGGUAAACGGCGGCCGUAACUAUAACGGUCCUAAGGUAGCGAAAUUCCUUGUCGGGUAAGUUCCGACCUGCACGAAUGGCGUAAUGAUGGCCAGGCUGUCUCCACCCGAGACUCAGUGAAAUUGAACUCGCUGUGAAGAUGCAGUGUACCCGCGGCAAGACGGAAAGACCCCGUGAACCUUUACUAUAGCUUGACACUGAACAUUGAGCCUUGAUGUGUAGGAUAGGUGGGAGGCUUUGAAGCGUGGACGCCAGUCUGCGUGGAGCCAACCUUGAAAUACCACCCUUUAAUGUUUGAUGUUCUAACGUUGGCCCCUUACCGGGGUUGCGGACAGUGUCUGGUGGGUAGUUUGACUGGGGCGGUCUCCUCCCAAAGCGUAACGGAGGAGCACGAAGGUUAGCUAAUCCUGGUCGGACAUCAGGAGGUUAGUGCAAUGGCAUAAGCUAGCUUGACUGCGAGCGUGACGGCGCGAGCAGGUGCGAAAGCAGGUCAUAGUGAUCCGGUGGUUCUGAAUGGAAGGGCCAUCGCUCAACGGAUAAAAGGUACUCCGGGGAUAACAGGCUGAUACCGCCCAAGAGUUCAUAUCGACGGCGGUGUUUGGCACCUCGAUGUCGGCUCAUCACAUCCUGGGGCUGAAGUAGGUCCCAAGGGUAUGGCUGUUCGCCAUUUAAAGUGGUACGCGAGCUGGGUUUAGAACGUCGUGAGACAGUUCGGUCCCUAUCUGCCGUGGGCGCUGGAGAAUUGAGGGGGGCUGCUCCUAGUACGAGAGGACCGGAGUGGACGCAUCACUGGUGUUCGGGUUGUCAUGCCAAUGGCACUGCCCGGUAGCUAAAUGCGGAAGAGAUAAGUGCUGAAAGCAUCUAAGCACGAAACUUGCCCCGAGAUGAGUUCUCCCUGAGACUUUAAGUCUCCUGAAGGAACGUUGAAGACGACGACGUUGAUAGGCCGGGUGUGUAAGCGCAGCGAUGCGUUGAGCUAACCGGUACUAAUGAACCGUGAGGCUUAACCUUACAACGCCGAAG